AGCAGCCGCGGUAAUUCCAGCUCCAAUAGCGUAUAUUAAAGUUGUUGCAGUUAAAAAGCUCGUAGUUGAAUUUCGGGAUCAGUUGGUCGGUCGUGCUUCGGUACGUACUGGUCAAAUUGAUUCCUACCUUCUGACGAACCACGAUGUCAUUAAUUUGGUGUCGCGGGAAAUCAGGACUGUUACUUUGAAAAAAUUAGAGUGUUUAAAGCAGGCUCGCGCUUGAAUACAUUAGCAUGGGAUAAUGAAAUAGGACGUUUGAUUCUAUUUUGUUGGUUUCUAGGAUCGACGUAAUGAUUAAUAGGGAUAGUUGGGGGCAUUAGUAUUCAAUUGUCAGAGGUGAAAUUCUUGGAUUUAUUGAAGACUAACUACUGCGAAAGCAUUUGCCAAGGAUGUUUUCAUUAAUCAAGAACGAAAGUUAGGGGAUCGAAGACGAUCAGAUACCGUCGUAGUCUUAACCAUAAACUAUGCCGACUAGGGAUCGGAUGAUGUUAAUUUUUUAAUGACUCA
rnacentral:rRNA from 1 species